GACGAACCGAGCGAGCGUUGUUCGGAAUCACUGGGCUUAAAGGGCGCGUAGGCGGAUUCUCAAGUCCGGGGUGAAAUCCCACAGCUCAACUGUGGAACUGCCUCGGAUACUGGGGGUCUCGAGGGUGGCAGGGGUAUGCGGAACUAUCGGUGGAGCGGUGAAAUGCGUUGAUAUCGAUAGGAACUCCGGUGGCGAAGGCGGCAUACUGGUCCACUUCUGACGCUGAGGCGCGAAAGCCAGGGGAGCAAACGGG
rnacentral:rRNA from 1 species